rnacentral:pre_miRNA from 1 species
CAAAGUGCUUGUAGUGCAGGUAGCAGUUUAAAAAGCUACUGCAAUACCAGCACUUUUAGU